GUAUUAGCUAGUUGGUGAGGUAAUGGCUCACCAAGGCGAUGAUACGUAGCCGAACUGAGAGGUUGAUCGGCCACAUUGGGACUGAGACACGGCCCAAACUCCUACGGGAGGCAGCAGUAGGGAAUCUUCCACAAUGGACGCAAGUCUGAUGGAGCAACGCCGCGUGAGUGAAGAAGGCUUUCGGGUCGUAAAACUCUGUUGUUGGAGAAGAAUGGUCGGCAGAGUAACUGUUGUCGGCGUGACGGUAUCCAACCAGAAAGCCACGGCUAACUACGUGCCAGCAGCCGCGGUAAUACGUAGGUGGCAAGCGUAUCCGGAUUUAUUGGGCGUAAAGCGAGCGCAGGCGGUUUUUAAGUCUGAUGUGAAAGCCCUCGGCUUAACCGAGGAAGCGCAUCGGAAACUGGGAAACUUGAGUGCAGAAGAGGACAGUGGAACUCCAUGUGUAGCGGUGAAAUGCGUAGAUAUAUGGAAGAACACCAGUGGCGAAAGCGGCUGUCUGGUCUGUAACUGACGCUGAGGCUCGAAAGCAUGGGUAGCGAACAGGAUUAGAUACCCUGGUAGUCCAUGCCGUAAACGAUGAUGCUAGGUGUUGGAGGGUUUCCGCCCUUCAGUGCCGCAGCUAACGCAUUAAGCAUUCGCCUGGGGAGUACGACCGCAAGUGAAACUCAAAGGAAUUGACGGGGGCCCGCACAAGCGGUGGAGCAUGUGGUUUAAUUCGAAGCAACGCGAAGAACCUUACCAGGUCUUGACAUCUUUUGAUCACCUGAGAGAUCAGGUUUCCCCUUCGGGGGCAAAAUGACAGGUGGUGCAUGGUUGUCGUCAGCUCGUGUCGUGAGAUGUUGGGUUAAGUCCCGCAACGAGCGCAACCCUUAUGACUAGUUGCCAGCAUUUAGUUGGGCACUCUAGUAAGACUGCCGGUGACAAACCGGAGGAAGGUGGGGAUGACGUCAAAUCAUCAUGCCCCUUAUGACCUGGGCUAC
rnacentral:rRNA from 2 species